rnacentral:rRNA from 1 species
UCUUGCAAACUAAAGAUGGCGACCGGCGCACGGGUGAGUAACACGUAUCCGACCUGCCGAUAACUCGGGGAUAGCCUUUCGAAAGAAAGAUUAAUAUCCGAUAGUAUAUUAAAACCGCAUGGUUUUACUAUUAAAGAAUUUCGGUUAUCGAUGGGGAUGCGUUCCAUUAGUUUGUUGGCGGGGUAACGGCCCACCAAGACUACGAUGGAUAGGGGUUCUGAGAGGAAGGUCCCCCACAUUGGAACUGAGACACGGUCCAA